ensembl:lncRNA
UUAGAGAGCUCUAUAAUCGUAAUUGUUACUAGUAACAAUUGAAUUAGAGAGCUCUAUAAUUGUAAUUGUUACUAGUAACAAUUCAAUUAGAGAGCUCUAUAAUCCGAAUUGUUACUAGUAACAAUUGAAUUGCAGAGCUCUAUAAUUAAAAAUGAAUGGAAGUCAAUGGAGACAUAUGACUAGUAAUAAAUGAAUUGUAGAGCUCUCUAAUUGGAAUUGUUACUAGUAACAAUUGAAUUAGAGAGCUCUAUAAUCAUAAUUGUUACUAGUAAAAAUUCAAUUAGAGAGCUCUAUAAUUGUAAUUGUUACUAGUAAGAAUUCAAUUAGAGAGCUCUAUAAUUGUAAUUGUUACUAGUAAGAAUUCAAUUAGAGAGCUCUAUAAUUGUAAUUGUUACUAGUAAGAAUUCAAUUAGAGAGCUCUACAAUCAUAAUUGUUACUAGUAAAAAUUGAAUUAUAGAGCUCUAUAAUUGUAAUUGUUACUAGUAGAAAUUAAAUUAUAGAGCUCUUUAAUUGAAUUGUUACUAGUAAAAAUAUAAUUACGACGAGUAACGCUGGGACGUUUUUAUGCUGAAAGGGCCUCCCAUACACCAAACAAGCACCUGACAUCUAUAAGAAACAGCUGAAAGCACAGAACAUGCUUCAUAUUUCAUUAACCCACACACACAUUAUUCACACACAACAGAAGUUCACUCAGUCUCAGUGCUUUCAUUCAACCAUCAGCUACUCUCAUAUUUUCAUUCGUUUUAUAAAACCACAUUCAGCAGAAUUUGGAACUAAUAUAUUGUGGACUUCAGUUAAGAUGGAGGAGAGGCAGAUGAUACUCAUAAUGAUCAUCACAAUUUCAGGCAUUUAUGCUGAUAGAAUUGGACCAAGAGAAGGAGACACUAAUAUAAUCAGAAAAGAAGGAGAGUCUGUGACACUGAGCUGCACAUAUGAAACAACCAGCAAUUAUAUUUAUCUCUUCUGGUACAGACAAUAUCCAAACAGAGAACCAGAAUAUAUACUGUAUAAAGGCGCUCGGUCGCGGAGCAGUGAUGAGGAUAUACCAGAUGGGUUUCAGUCAACUACAUCCCGGACAUUCACUGAACUUACUAUUGUAAAAGCAGCUCUGUCAGAUUCUGCUCUUUAUUACUGCGCACUUGAAGUAGCCCAGUGAUGCAAAGUACCAGAGAAGCUUUACAAAAACUCACAUGAAAUUAAUGCUUUGAAGAGUCUUUAAUCAAUCAGUAUCAAAACACAUCAUGUUUUUAUAAACCACAAACAGUGAAUGUGGUAACAGCUGUGAAUUUAGAAGGUUAAAAAGGUUGCAUAAGGGCAUGUGACUACAAUUCAUAUUGGGUGCCACUCCACCUGUAUCCACAGGAUACCUAUCUAAACAGGGUGUUGCUACUAGGGAUCUGUUGAAACAGUUCCUUCAACAAGCUUAUGCAAGAGCAAGUGGUAGCCCCUGUGUGACAGGCCAAGACUUAGUAUGAUUCUAGGCUCUGUAGCAUCCCUUUAAAUUAAUCUAUUAUUGAUUCCAGGCCUUGAGCUCUACCCUGGGCCCAGGAGUCUGGCCCUAACAGGUAAGCUUGGGUAUGUAGCCUAGGCAUUUGGUCGCAAGGGAAAAUGUCACAGACAGCUGUCUAAAGUCCCGGGUGCAACUCCCAUGUACUCCCCAAGGAAGGUGGUGUGGGUAUACUGUGGGAUGUGGGAAUCCCAAUUUCAUGAUGACUACACAUAAUCUAACCAUCCUGCUUAAUCUCAGAAGAAUUUGUUUUGGAAGAUUUCUUUCCUUUGUCCUCUCUUUUAGAGAUUUUAGAGUUUAGCUCUACACCAAUCAAACACACAUGAACCAGCUAAUCAAGGUCUUCAGGAUUAUUACAAAUAAAUAAAUAAUUGGCGGGUACGCUGAAACAGACUGGAAAUAGAAUUUGCAGGACAGUUCAUCUCCAGGAACAUAGGUGAAGACCUCUGGGUUUGAGUUGAUAUAGGCAGUUAAAGAUUAAGCCUUAUUUUUUUACGUUCCAACAAGAAAGAAUAAAGAAAAAGUAUUUGAGAGUGAAAGUUUUGUGUGGCAUUUUGAGUGAAAUUAUGCUCUAUAUUGAAAGAAUGAGUGGGAUAUAUAAAUACAUAAAGAUUAUCAAUGCUUAAUUAGUCCUUCAGCACACGUAUUCUACUCUUCAAUAGGCUCCACCACUAUUUUCAACGAUCUAUUUUAAUAUCUCACUAACAUGGAUGUUACACCCUUCACGACCAUGUCCUUCUGAGGGGGGUAUAACACUAGUACUGUAUGUUCUCUUAUGAAUUACAGAAGCUGGGCAGCUUUUAAAUUGUGUGUUACACAUGACACUAACCACACCCACAAUAUUAGUACACAAUAUACUGGAUGUCACCACAGAUUCAUUCACACUAUAAAACGAUAUUCAGUUACAGUUUUCUAAUUAUAUCAUUAAUAGAAAUACAUACUACAUCUGGACUGCCAACAUGGAGAAGCAGAUGCUGUUAAUGAUUCUCAUCGUAGUUACAGGUAAAUAAUAUUGAAUCCCACUAAACAUAGUUGUAAGCUGUACAAAUCUCAAUUUAAUGCAAAGCUAACCUCAUCUUGAUGUUUUUUA